rnacentral:rRNA from 1 species
GUGGUAAUUCUAGAGCUAAUACAUGCUUAAAAUCCCGACUGUUUGGAAGGGAUGUAUUUAUUAGAUAAAAAAUCAAUGUCUUCGGACUCUUUGAUGAUUCAUAAUAACUUUUCGAAUCGCAUGGCCUUGUGCUGGCGAUGGUUCAUUCAAAUUUCUGCCCUAUCAACUUUCGAUGGUAGGAUAGUGGCCUACCAUGGUUUCAACGGGUAACGGGGAAUAAGGGUUCGAUUCCGGAGAGGGAGCCUGAGAAACGGCUACCACAUCCAAGGAAGGCAGCAGGCGCGCAAAUUACCCAAUCCCGACACGGGGAGGUAGUGACAAUAAAUAACGAUACAGGGCCCUUUCGGGUCUUGUAAUUGGAAUGAGUACAAUGUAAAUACCUUAACGAGGAACAAUUGGAGGGCAAGUCUGGUGCCAGCAGCCGCGGUAAUUCCAGCUCCAAAAGCGUAUAUUAAAGUUGUUGCAGUUAAAAAGCUCGUAGUUGAACCUUGGGCUUGGUUGGCCGGUCCAUCUUUCUGAUGCGUACUGGACCCAACCGAGCCUUUCCUUCUGGCUAGCCUUUUGGCGAACCAGGACUUUUACUUUGAAAAAAUUAGAGUGUUCAAAGCAGGCCUUUGCUCGAAUAUAUUAGCAUGGAAUAAUAGAAUAGG